rnacentral:tmRNA from 1 species
GGGGCUGAUCGGUUUCGACUAAGGUCGUUCGAUUCAGGAGAAGCGGGUAGAGGAUCCAGGGUUAUCUCUUAAACGAUCUCUGGAAACCAACAAGUGCCGAUUCCAAUCGCACUGACUUCGCCCUCGCUGCCUAAGCGAUAGGUGAAGCGUUGGCCUGGGGGCGUUCCCGCCCCAGAUCACCAACGUCAUUUAGGGGACUUGCUGGUCACACCACGUCGCAGGGUGUGACCGGGACUUUUAUGCGACUGAGCCUGUCGGAGACGCGUUUGUCCGAGCUCCGGGGCUGAGAAAAGCGUUAGACGAACUACACCCGUAGAAGCCCUGACUCAGCGCCAUAGGACCCGGGUUCGAUUCCCGGCAGCUCCACGA